GGUAGGGUACUCAAGUGGUCUAAGAGGGCGGUUUGCUAAACCGUUAGGACGGGUAAAACCGUUGCGUGGGUUCGAAUCCCACUCCUACCGC
rnacentral:tRNA from 1 species